rnacentral:rRNA from 1 species
UACAGAGGUCCCAAGCGUUGUUCGGAUUCACUGGGCGUAAAGGGUGCGUAGGCGGUCGGGUAAGUCUGAUGUGAAAUCUCACAGCUUAACUGUGAAACUGCAUUGGAUUCUAUUCGGCUUGAGAGUUGGAGGGGGGACUGGAAUUCUUGGUGUAGCAGUGAAAUGCGUAGAUAUCAAGAGGAACACCAGUGGCGAAGGCGAGUCCCUGGACAACUUCUGACGCUGAGGCACGAAAGCUAGGGGAGCAAACAGG